rnacentral:rRNA from 11 species
AUCUGUGGCCUAAAUAACCCAAUAGCACCAGAUUCCAUCAGAUCUUAGAUACUAAGCAGGAUCAAUCUUGAGUAGCAUAUGGAUGAGAGACCACCAGUGAAUGCCAGACAUUGUAUUAC